UACAGAGGUCCCAAGCGUUUUUCGGAUUCACUGGGCGUAAAGGGUGCGUAGGUGGUGGGGUAAGUCGGAUGUGAAAGCUCGGAGCUCAACUCCGAAAUGGCAUUGGAAACUACCCUGCUAGAGGAUUGGAGGGGGGACUGGAAUACUUGGUGUAGCAGUGAAAUGCGUAGAUAUCAAGUGGAACACCAGUGGCGAAGGCGAGUCCCUGGACAAUACCUGACACUGAGGCACGAAAGCUAGGGGAGCAAACAGG
rnacentral:rRNA from 1 species